GGGUUAGAUACCCUGGUAGUCCAUGCCGUAACGUUGGGCACUAGGUGUGGGGGACAUUCCAGUUUUCCGCGCCGUAGCUAACGCAUUAAGUGCCCCGCCUGGGGAGUACGGCCGCAAGGUAAAACUCAAAGGAAUUGACGGGGGCCGCACAAGCGGCGGAGCAUGCGGAUAAUUCGAUGCAACGCGAAGAACCUUACCAAGGCUUGACAUGAACCGGACCGCCGCAGAAAUGUGGUUUCCCCUUUGGGGCUGGUUUACAGGUGGUGCAUGGUUGUCGUCAGCUCGUGUCGUGAGAUGUUGGGUUAAGUCCCGCAACGAGCGCAACCCUCGUUCUAUGUUGCCAGCACGUGAUGGUGGGGACUCAUAGGAGACUGCCGGGGUCAACUCGGAGGAAGGUGGGGACGACGUCAAAUCAUCAUGCCCCUUAUGUCUUGGGCUUCACGCAUGCUACAAUGGCCGGUACAAAGGGUUGCGAUACUGUGAGGUGGAGCUAAUCCCAAAAAGCCGGUCUCAGUUCGGAUUGGGGUCUGCAACUCGACCCCAUGAAGUCGGAGUCGCUAGUAAUCGCAGAUCAGCAACGCUGCGGUGAAUACGUUCCCGGGCCUUGUACACACCGCCCGUCAAGUCACGAAAGUUGGUAACACCCGAAGCCGGUGGCCUAACCCCUUGUGGGAGGGAGCUGUCGAAGGUGGGACUGGCGAUUGGACUA
rnacentral:rRNA from 1 species